rnacentral:rRNA from 1 species
GGGCCCGCACAAGCGGUGGAGUAUGUGGUUUAAUUCGAUGCAACGCGAAGAACCUUACCAGGGUUUGACAUCCUGUGCUAACCCGAGAGAUCGGGCGUUCACUUCGGUGACGCAGUGACAGGUGCUGCAUGGCUGUCGUCAGCUCGUGUCGUGAGAUGUUCGGUUAAGUCCGGCAACGAGCGCAACCCACAUCCUUAGUUGCCAGCAGUUCGGCUGGGCACUCUAAGGAAACUGCCCGUGAUAAGCGGGAGGAAGGUGUGGAUGACGUCAAGUCCUCAUGGCCCUUACGGGUUGGGCUACACACGUGCUACAAUGGCAGUGACAAUGGGUUAAUCCCAAAAAGCUGUCUCAGUUCGGAUUGGAGUCUGCAACUCGACUCCAUGAAGUCGGAAUCGCUAGUAAUCG